GCCGCCUGGGAGCCCCGCGCCGCAGCCUGAGCCGGACGCCAGCCCUCCCACGAGCCCCCAGGAGCGCUGUUACAAAAGUCAUUUGCUGGGGCAGCAGACAUGCACAUCCAUCCAGGAGCCUAACCUUGUUAAGUGUUCCCUUCAGAACAGCCUGCGCUUCUCUCAUGGACGUUUUUCUAGCAAAUAUUGCUUCCAUGUUUCUUGGCAGAUGGAGGAGACUCCCCUCAACCUUCUCCCCCUUUUGUCCAGUGUUGUGUCUCUUCUUAUCUCAGGGGCCCAACACAUUACAAAUAGGAUGCAGGAACAAUGUAAUGUGAAUGUCACAGAUAAAUACGCCUGAGGAAGGCUGUGGCGCCUAAAAGCUUUCAGAGAAAGAUCAUUUUGUUGCGAUUUCGUAGUUGGUCUAAUAAAAGGUCACCUCUCAACCAAAAGUUCUAGAGUUUUGCAUUUCUUUUUGUCUCAGACCAAUGCAGCUACCAAAUACAUCCCUGAAACAUGGAAGAUGCUGAAUUUUAGCUAAUUUUGUAUUUAAGGUUCAUUGCUAAACAACAAGAAAGAUUUCUACAGCUCCCUGCCUGCCAUCUGGCAGCACCAGGGAAGGAAUCCUGCCUGAUCUGCACAUCAAAGAGCAACUCAAAAGACACUCAGAGGAACAGACUUCCACCUUCCGUUUCCUCUGUGCAAAAGUAAAGUUUAUUUUCUACCUACGGGGACUUUUUACCAUCAUUAAUUUUCCCUGAGCCUGAGGAAGGGCAUGUGUGCCCAACAGCUUGCAGAAAAAAGAAUUUUUUUUGGUUUUUUUGCAAUUUCUUAGUUGGUCUAAUAAAAAGUAUCAUCUCUGA